rnacentral:lncRNA from 1 species
GUGGAUCUAAAAGAAAAAAAAUCAAAAGAUCGUAAAGAUUAGGGUUUUGAAAAACCCAGAAGAGAUGAGAAAGACCUUGAAAGUUUCCGAUAUAACCAAAAAAAUCAAGGAUCAACCUUAAAAGACCAUGAAUGGCCGGAGAAAGGUUGUGGAUGGCUGAAGAAAGGCCAUGACAAUGGUCGAGAGGACUGGACCAGAUUCCUUCAAGGAAUGGCCAUGAAACCACAAAAAAGACACCCAUGAGCCAUAAAAGGCUGGUACAGUCUCAAAUAACCACGAGGGGCCAUGGAUUAGGUAGAUAUUGGGGGUGAGAUUAGAGGACGGCAGCUAGUGUUCAGGUGGGAUUUUAGAGAGAAUUGAGAGAAAGGGGAACUCAAAGGC